AUUGAGUUGGGAGCUGGGCGUUUUACCACACAGGAGCCUUCCAGCCACAGCGGGGACAAUCUUCUACUGAGCCAGCAUCUUUAUCCACUUUGGGCUCCUGGGUUACAAGUCAAGCCAAUGGACAAAACCUGUGAAGUCCUCCUGGGGACAGGAUUCCCCCUCUCUCCAGAGCCUCCUCUACCACAGGGGUGGGGGGCACUCACUGCAGCAGCCUGCACAGCCUGGUCACCAAAAAGGCACUGUGGAACCAGCUCUCAGCUGCUGGCUGUGACACUGCAGGCUCUAGGCAGGUGCCUCCCCCAGAAAUUAACCAGGGAAAGACUUACCAGGGCAACUGGCAAAGCUUGGCCGAAAUCCCUCAGUCACCUUGAUCUGGUGCAGGAACUCCCCAAACACCCAUGCCCAUGCCCCACCACAGAGUUCUUAAGCCAGCUUUCCACGAGGGCAGGCAACCAGGCAGCCGGACCUCUCCACGGCCUGAACUUCAACAGCAAGACGCACCGUGCUGCUGGGAAUCUCUGCCCUGCUUUCAGUGAGCUCACCGGAAAACCUGUUAGCAAAUCACCAGGAGG
rnacentral:lncRNA from 1 species